rnacentral:lncRNA from 1 species
GCCCAUUCAAGUUGGCAGUAAGGAGAAAAAGAUCUACCAGGCAAGUGCCUGCAAGUCAUAGUACCUCAGGGAUUCCAAUCAACAUUUGCUUGCUGGUGAGUGGUUCUACUUCAAGUUAAGAAACAAAUUCUCAUGGCAAACUGCUUGGAUACUGUUUCCCAAAAGUUAGAAGAACCAAGCCUGCAAGGUGGCAUGGAUUCCUCCGGAAGGACUCCACCCAACUUUGGUCUCAGCAGCUGGACAAAGCUCUCCUUGAAGACAGGACCAUGUCUUAUUCAACUUUGUAAUCCCAGGACCUGGCACAAAAGCUGGCACCUAUUCAGUGCCUGUAAGUUACUGUUGAAUAAAUGAACAGAUGAAUGAAAGAAAUCACUGUGCUUCUUCCUAAAUCUAGCUUGUAUAUAGAUAA